GGUGAGGUGGCCGAGUGGUCGAAGGCGCACGCCUGGAAAGCGUGUAACGGGUAACCGUUCGAGGGUUCGAAUCCCUCCCUCACCGCCA
rnacentral:tRNA from 1 species